UGAAACCACAGAGCCUCGGAUUUAUUGAG
rnacentral:sRNA from 1 species